rnacentral:rRNA from 1 species
GACGAACGCUGGCGGCGCGCCUAACACAUGCAAGUCGAACGGAGUCAAGAGGAGCUUGCUUUUCUUGACUUAGUGGCGAACGGGUGAGUAACGCGUGAGUAACCUGCCCUGGAGUGGGGGACAACAGUUGGAAACGACUGCUAAUACCGCAUAAGCCCACGGAUCUGCAUGGAUCUGCGGGAAAAGGAUUUAUUCGCUCUAGGAUGGACUCGCGUCCAAUUAGCUAGUUGGUGAGGUAACGGCCCACCAAGGCGACGAUUGGUAGCCGGACUGAGAGGUUGAACGGACACAUUGGGACUGAGACACGGCCGAGACUCCUACGGGAGGGAGGAGUGGGGGAUAUUGCACAAUGGGGGAAACGCUGAUGCAGCGACGCCGCGUGGAGGAAGAAGGUUUUCGGAUUGUAAACUCCUGUCGUUAGGGACGAUAAUGACGGUACCUAACAAGAAAGCACCAGCUAACUACGUG